rnacentral:rRNA from 3 species
UGCCAGUGAUAAACUGGAGGAAGGUGGGGAUGACGUCAAGUCAUCAUGGCCCUUACGACCAGGGCUACACACGUGCUACAAUGGCGCAUACAAAGAGAAGCGACCUCGCGAGAGCAAGCGGACCUCAUAAAGUGCGUCGUAGUCCGGAUUGGAGUCUGCAACUCGACUCCAUGAAGUCGGAAUCGCUAGUAAUCGUGGAUCAGAAUGCCACGGUGAAUACGUUCCCGGGCCUUGUACACACCGCCCGUCACACCAUGGGAGUGGGUUGCAAAAGAAGUAGGUAGCUUAACCUUCGGGAGGGCGCUUACCACUUUGUGAUUCAUGACUGGGGUGAAGUCGUAACAAGGUAACCGUAGGGGAACCUG